rnacentral:rRNA from 1 species
CACGGCCUAUCAGCUUGUUGGUGGGGUAACGGCCCACCAAGGCAGCGACGGGUAGCUGGUUUGAGAGAACGAUCAGCCACACUGGGACUGAGACACGGCCCAGACUCCUACGGGAGGCAGCAGUAGGGAAUCUUGCGCAACGGGCGAAAGCCUGACGCAGCAACGCCGCGUGCGGGAUGACGGCCUUCGUGGUUGUAAACCGCUUUCAGCAGGGACGAAAAUGACGGUACCUGCAGAAGAAGCCCCGGCUAACUACGUGCCAGCAGCCGCGGUAAUACGUAGGGGGCGAGCGUUGUCCGGAAUCAUUGGGCGUAAAGAGCUCGUAGGCGGUUCAGUAAGUCGGGUGUGAAAGCUCCGAGCUCAACUCGGAGAGGCCACCCGAUACUGCUGUGACUAGAAUCCAGUAGGGGAGCGUGGAACUCCUGGUGUAGCGGUGAAAUGCGCAGAUAUCAGGAAGAACACCAGCAGCGAAGGCGGCGCUCUGGGCUGGAAUUGACGCUGAGGAGCGGAAGUGUGGGUAGCAAACAGGAUUAGAUACCCUGGUAGUCCACACCGUAAACGUUGGGCACUAGGUGUGGGGAGGAAUCAACCCUCUCUGUGCCGUAGCUAACGCAUUAAGUGCCCCGCCUGGGGAGUACGG